rnacentral:lncRNA from 1 species
AAGCAAUUGUCUCGGAAUUUCAAGGUGUUGUGUCAUAACUUACUGGAUGUGGCGUUUUGUUGUUUCGAGAUAUAGAUUUCCAAAAAGGCUAACUUAGUGUCAAAUAUUUUAAAAAUAUUGUGUCCUAACUUAUUGGAUGUAAUAUUUUGAUUCAUUUGAUAAAAGUGAACCCUAAUUUUCAAAAUAAAAAAUAUUAAAAGAGAACUGCAUCUUAAAAUUUUUUAAAUUUUCGACAUUAAAGACACUUGAUAAUCAAUUAGGUACCAAUUUUUUGGGCGUUACGAGGGUGCUAACCCUUCCUCAUACGUAACCAACUCCCGAAUCUAUUUUCUCGACUUUCGUAGACCAAAAUUAAUGUUUUAAAACAAAACAUUUUAUAAGGUGAUCCAAUCACACCUAAAAAGAUUGGUGGCGACUCCCGUUUUCAUUUUUUUUAAAGUCGAUUCCCAUUUUCCUAAAACUCGAUUUAAAAAUGGUUUCGGCAAUGAACAUACCAACUAGCACAUAGCUAUAAACAUUACAAUAAGUAUAUCAACCCUAUUACAUGCCAUAUAAGCCUAUAUGUUCACAAAAUCUACCAAAGAAUUCUCGAGAUAGUGUGAAUCUUCGAGUUGAUCUGAUCGCCCGAUUAUCCAUAAAAUGCUAUCUACAAGAGAACACAAUAAAACACGAGUAAGAUUGUAUAAAGAUUAGUAAGCUCAUCAAUUAAAUGAUAAAUCUUACAAAAAAUAACACAAUAAUUCAGGUAAUUAGUUAAAUGAAUAAACUCCCUGUUACGACCUAAUAUCAGAACUCCUGUCAAACACAGUUCACAACAAGUAAGAAAUGUUCAAAUGUUAAUACGAUAAAUAAUCAAUGCCCGAUGAAUGUUUUAUGGAUACGAGUACAUGGUUAAUCAUCCGAAACACGCCAAACACUCAUAUGAGCUAAUCUAACCAAUAACACUCCUCAGCAUUAAGUGCCUAGCUCGAAGGUUAACAACUACCCCCAUAAAUAUGCCAGCAAACACUGAAGUAUAACUCGAUAGUCCGUAAAAAAUACCAGACUUUGAUAUAAUAAGGUAAAUAGGAAAUAAGCAGUGUACGCCCUAAAAAUUUAAAUGUUUGAUUAAGAAAUGCUAGCAUAAUUAAAUCUUUGUUUCUGUGGUUAUGUGCUCUGCUUAUGUGUUUGAUGUCAGAAGUUCAAGUCGCGUCUGUAGAAAUUUUUUCUAUUUUACUCUAUACUAACCUCUAUCCUUGAAUGGUUGACUUAAAUUUAAUUCUUUGUAAAUUUGCGUUAAGAAUGAGCCUGCUGGUUCACUGGUUAAGUAUUCUCCCCCUUAUUGAUCCUAUGUUCGAGUUUCAACGUAUGCGUUAAGAAAGAUGUUUUAUUAAUGUCAAAAUUUUGAGUGGUGGUUUUAAACAUUAAAUUAACGUUCUCUAUUUCUACAAUGUCCUUUCUUUUUCUUUUUGUUUUUCUUCUUGUUCCCUCUUUUCUUUUUCUUUUUUGUGUUCGGUUUGUCUCUCCUUUUUAGUUGACGUUAAAUCCUCUACAAUAUAUUUGUGUAAGUGCAUUCUUUGUGUUGUAGAUUAAAAGUUAAUUGUCUAAGUUUUGCUGUAAAUUUCUUCAAAACAUCGGGGUCAUUCUGUCGAAAUGACUCUAUCUUUGUUGGGUUGAAUUCUUGUGAUUAAACAGCUUUUGGCUUCUUUAUAUUAGGUGUAGGUGUUGGAAGUAACGUUUCUUGACAGGUUAGUUUGAGUGGUUGCCGCUAAUUUGCUGGUAAGCAUUAGUUUCGUUAGAGGUUUUAUGUCGAAGUUUUUGAAUAGUUUAGUAAGUAUUAAUUUGUGCGAAUUACGUUGUUUUAGUCAUUUAUUUGGUUUUUGGUUGGCUAAUUUAGGCUCUGGGGUUUCUCUGUGUCGUUUCUAUUCAAAACUACUUUAGGUGUACCAAAAAUUUAUGUUUGUAUGAAUUUUGGACGUCAAAAACAUAGCUGUCGACGUCACAUGGCCAUUUGAUAGGCCGUGUAACUCGCUGUUCACCAAGUUAGAGCUUUAUGAGUGUGUGUCCUGACCGUGUAUGGCAAAGUUAAUGCAAGAUUCAUACGAGCUAAGGAGACGGGUGUUUGUCCAGGCCUUGUAACUCACUGUCUACAAAAAUUAGGAUCACACGAGUAGACGACACGAUCGUGUGAGACACACGAGAAUGCACACAUGCAUGUGCCAGGCCAAAUGGGCUGGCUAUACAGGCCGUGUGAAACCACGUAGGCCUGUGGAUCAAUAUACGAAAUUUUUACGCUUGGAUCACGAGUGUCGCUUGAAACAAAUACAAGCUUUCUGUGAGGCCGUAUGAUUGAAUUAAACAGUAUAAACUGAUAUUCUAUGACUUGAGACUAUAUAAUAAAAAUUUGUGUGGGUAAUGGUAUCGAUCUAUUCUAUUUGAGUAUGAAUUGUAUCUGAAUGUUCGUAAAGGACUCUAUAUUAACUGUCAUUUGAAAUCUGCAUUUGCAUUGGGUGAGAAUUGAGUAAGGGGGAAGUAUUCUAUUCUGAAAUAGUGGUUAAACCACUAGUAUCUGUACUCUGAUCUAGCAGCUAGAUUGGAAUCACUGAAACAUGUCAAAUCGACACUAUAUGGUGUGUAGGUUAGAUGGGUAGUAAUUACCCAUUUGGUGUGUUGGGUUGGUCGAAAAUGGUGUAUAGUGGUUGGGAUUAAGAAAAUUGUAUAUAUUAUGUUUUGUUCUGUAUCUGACUAUACUGAUUUGUUAUCUGUUUGUACGAUUCUGAUUUGUAAUUGAAUGAAUUGUCUCUUGAGUCUGAUUCAACAUUUUCAUUUGGAUAUCUACUUAUUUAACCAUAACUCUAUUGAAUAUGUAUAUAGUUGGUUUAUUUAUGAGAAAUUAAUGCAUUGUUUUGUUCAAUGAAUUACAAGCAAAUCACAAACUUGAACGGGUCAGUAGAUAGAGAGCUUGAUUUUGCUGUUUUAAACUGUUUAGUACAACUAGUAUUGUUAAUUUACUUUUAGUAUUUUCAACUUAGUUGGAUGAUAAACCUCAAACUGCUUGCUUUGUUAUUUCUUUAAAUCUUAUAUGACUCCAAAUGGUUUUAAAGCUAAGUUAUGAAGUUAUGUUUUUCAAUAUCGUUCGUUGUAACUCUCCAGGCUUGGCCUUAUCGUCUAGGUCGAAUAUGGGGUGUUAUAAGAAGGAAUCAUUGUCUCAUCUCAAGUUAAACCCAUACAGCGCACACUAUAACCUAUUGGCAUGUCAAUAAUACUCUACGUUCAUAGUUUCAGGAGAUUUUCAUGGUAAUCAAUUCUAUAAUGUUUUGUUAUUCAAAUCUCAAGUGCAACCAUACAAUAAUAUCCAAGUCACAACAAAUUAAUUCAUCCCAAAAUAAACCUAAAAAUAUUAAAAUUAAACCGAGCGAACUUAUCGACUAAUGCAGUGACAACCAUAAUAUAGGGACUACUCCGCUAUAUUCUCUUUUCCGUGGUUCACAACGCGUUCUUGAUCUAGAACAACAAUUUCAUUCAAUUUACUAUAUCAAUAACAAAAUUAAAUCAUUUUAUGCAAUUAAGUCCCUUUUUGGCAUCUUAUAAAAUUACCCUCAACUUUUCACUUUUAUUCAAUUUAAUCCCUAAGUUCAAAACAUGCAAAUUUAACCAUUUUUUAUUCACAUUCAAGCUUGGUCGAAUAUACAAGGGCCUCUCUACAGCUCCUAUUUGCUAUUAAUUCACAUUAAGUACAAGUUAUUCUACCACUUUAACAAAUUAGUCCUUAGACGUUAAAAUGAUCAAAAACCACUUUACAAAACAAUCCAAUCUAACAACAAAACUUAAUAAUCUUCCAUAAACAUUCAAGAAACAACUCAAAUCAAUAAUGAAAAAAGAUAUAACAUUUGAUAGUUUUACGAAUUGAUCCCAGUGUUAGCUAGAUUAAGUUAAUACGAGCUCAAAAACGUAAAAAUCACUAAAAAACAGACGAAGUUUCACCUACCUAUUGAGGACUUAAAGUUAACCGAAUGGUGUUCUCUACUUACUCUAGGGUUUUGACUAACGUAAAGAAAAUAUAAUGAAGAAGAUGAUAAAAUUUCAUUUUAUUUUUGUGUAAUUUAACUUAGUAAAAUAAUUACAAUUUUACCCUUUUUAAUUUCACCUGAUAUUUGAGUAAAAUGGUAGCCAAAAUCAUCCACUCACCCUUCCAAUGGUGUAAUUACCAGUUAAGUACCUUACUAUCCUUUUUAAUUAACAUUUAGUACCUUUAAUUAACGGACUCAACUUUUGCAGCUUUUACGAUUUAGUCAUUUUCUUUAAUUAACUAUCAAAAUGAUAAAAUUUCUUAAUCAAAAUUUAAUACGACACUAAUGCCAUCAGAAAUAUUAAAUAAUUAAUAUUCACAGACUGAAAUGUCAGAGUUGUGGUACCGAAGCUAUUGUUUCUGAUACUAUUGAAAAAAGGGCAGUUACAACUCUCUCCUCUUUGGAAAUUUAAUCCCUGAAAUUUCUUACUAGAAAAUAGGUUCUGAUAUUGUGAUCUUAUCAGGUCUUUAGUUCCUCAUGUAGCUUCCUCAACCCCAUGAUGAUUCCAUAAGACUUUAAUUAAUGUCACUUUUUUAUUUCGAAGUUCCUUUACUUUACUUUCUAAAAUCCUAAUUGGUUCUUCAGAAUACGAUAGAUCUGACUUUAUCUCAACCUCAUAGGGAGUAAUGACAUGUAAAGGGUUUGACCUGUACCGUCUCAACAUUGAAAUAUGAAAAAAAUUGUGAAUCUUUUCAAGUACUGAAGGUAGAGCUAACCUAUAAGCUACAAGACCAAUUCUUUUUGUGAUAUCAUAUGGCCCAAAAAAAUCUCAGACUCAACUUUCCUUUUUUGCCAAAAUGAAACACUUUUUUCCAUGGUGAAACUUUCAGGAACACUCGAUCACUAAUAGUGAAUUCCAUAUAUUUUCUUUUCAAUCUGCAUAUGAUUUUUGAAGAUAUGACAUUGCUUUUAAACAAUCAUGGAUUAUCCAAACCUUAUUUUUCAUCUCACGCAUCAAAUCAAUAACAAUUAGCUUAGAUUCACUUGAUUCUGACCAAUACAACGGUGUUCUACAUUUUCUUCCAUAGAGGGCUUUAAAUGGUGCCGUCUUAAUAUUAGAUUAAUAGUUGUUAUUAUACCCAAAUUCUACCAACGGUAAAUAUCUCUCCCAGCUACCCUCAAACUUAAGAAUGCAACACCGUAACAUAUCUUCCAGAAUCUGUAUCACAUAUUCUAAUUGUCCAACGGUAAAUAACGAAUGGUAUGCUUACUGAAAUAAAGUUUAGUGCCCAAAGCUCCAUGAAGCUUACCCUAAAAUCUCGAGGUAAAUCUCGGGUCUCUAUCAGAGAUAAUAUAUAAUAGAACUCCGUGCAAUCUAACAAUCUCUGAUACAUAUAAUUCUGCUAACUUCUCAAGUGAAUAAUCAAUUUUGAUUGGGAUAAAAUGAGUUAACUUCAUUAGUCUGUGAACAAUAAUCCAAAUUGAGUCUUUCUUCCUCAAUGUCACUAGUAAUACCAAUACAAAAUCCAUCGUAAUACGCUCCCAUUUCCACUCAGAAAUAGUAACAAGCUGUAAUAAUCCUGAUGGUACCUAAAGUUUAGCUUUUACCUGCUGACAAACUAGAUAUUUAAUCACAAACUUAGAAAUCUCACGUUUCGUACUUGGCCACUAGUACAUUUUCUUUAGGUCAUUAAACAUUUUAGGACUACACGGAUGAAUGGAGUAUAUACUACUGUGGGCCUCUGAUUAUAUGUCUUACCUUAAUUAUGGAUUAUUCGGGACACACAACCUAUUAUGAAAAUACAUCAUACCAUUAUCACCUACAAUAAAUCCUGUAGUCAAGUCACUCUAAAUCUGUUCCUGUUUGGCUAACAACUUUGGAUCAUCAUCUUGUAAUUCUCCAAUCUGCUGGAGGAAUAACGAACUAGUCCUUAGCUAAACUAUAAUAAAACCCAACAUAUUCCAAAGCUAAAUGUGUAUUCAUUGCUCUCAAAUCAAAUAAUAAUUUCUAACUUAAAGCAUCUACAACCACAUUAGCCUUCCUGGGGUGAUAAUAGAUUACAAGAUCAUAAUCAUUCAGUAACUCUAAACCCCGUUGUAGUUUCAGAUUCAAUUCCUUUUGAGUCAUCAAAUGUUUCAAAAUUUAGUGAUCUGUUAAUAUGUGACAUUUUUCACCGUAAAGGUAGUAAUGCCAAAUCUUCAGAGCAAAAACAAUAGCAACUAACUCCAAGUCAUGUAUAGGUUAAUUCUUUUCAUGAGGCUUUAACUGGCGAGAAGCAUAGGUUAUUACUUUCCCAGCUUGCAUCAAUACACAUCCCAAUCUACUAAGUGACGCAUCACUGUAAACAAUAAAUUCCUUCCUAGAUUUAGGCUAUGUCAAUACUGGAGCUUCUGUUAACAUUUUUUUAACCGAUCAAAACUCUAUUGGCACUCAUCUGACCAAACAUACUGGACAUUCUUCUGUUGUAACUGGGUCAUUAAUGAAGCUGUUAUAGAUUUUUUUAACAAAACGACGAUAGUAACCUACCAGUUUCAGAAAACUCUGUACCUCUAAAAUAUUCUUCUGACCUUUACAGUUAAUAAUAAAAGAAAUUUUACUCAGAUUGAUACAUAUCCCAUCUGUUGAAACCACGUGUCCAAGAAAUCCAACUUCUUGAAGCCAUAAUUCACACUUGUUGAAUUUUGCAUACAACUGUUUUUUACGCAAAAUCUAUAUUACAGUUCUCAAAUGCCGAGCAUGUUCAUAUUUUGUCUUGGAGUAGAUCAAUAUAUCAUCUAUAAAUAUUAUAAACCAUAAGCUAUACAUAUUCUUACCCCAUGCUUGGCAUACUUAUGGAUGAAUUUUCCUUGGUUUUAUUGAAUUCGAUGCUCGUAAUCCUUUAAUUUCAUGUUUUAUACUCAAGAGAGCAUAGUAAAGAUAAAAGAGCAAGAAACAAACCAAAAAGGGACAAAAUAGGCUAAUUUUAGCGUUCUAUAUGGACUAGGCACUUCCACACCCCCGUGCGUGUCGGCAUUAAAUAAAGUCAGAAUUGUAAACGGCCUGAGAACUUUCACACGGGCGUAACAGACGGCCUUGUCCUUGUCAAACCCAAGUUUAAUUCUAUUAAGAAAAGGCUAAUUUUGGGCUAUUCUGGGCAUUCCAAAGUCUAUAAAAACACCUUAGAAGAGGACCAAAAAGGACACGCAUAAUAGAGGGUAGAAAAUACUCAAGGAUAGCCAUCGGGAUCAGCUCAGAAGUAGGAUCUACUUCAAGACUGAAGAUCUUCAUUAUCUUUUCUUAGAAGUUCUUUGGUUUCUUUAUGUUUUGUUGUUUUCCCAAUUUUGAUAUGUUUUCAAUUAUUAUGAACUAAACUCCCUAAACACCUAAGGGAGAUAAAAUCUAAGACGGAUCUUAUUACUAUUUGAAUUAUAUGAUAAAUACUUGUUCUUAUUCUUAAUUGUGAGUUUUAAUCCUUGUUUUAAUAUUCCAGGAUAUAUAAUUCAGGUUUUGAUGUGCUUAUUCAGUGGAGUAAAAGUCCCUGUUUAAAAGUAGAUCUUCCAUAAUUAAGGGGACUUGCAUGCAAUCUUACAGAUAGGACGACAUAAAUCUGCCGGCUUAGAGUCAAAUCUAUUAAGGGAAUCCAUAGAUCGAAUUAAUACGAUAGUAGGGGUUUUAAUUAGUAAGAGAUUUCAAUUAAUCAACCUAGAGUCAGUUGUUUUUAGUCUCGAAAGAGAUAAUGACAUAAAUUAGAGAUUUCUACGGAUUAAGUCAAGUGAAUAAAUCAUCUAAUUCAGAAGUAAAAAGUGAAGUCUAGGUGAAUUCGUCCUUGGGUAUUGUCUUCUCUAUCAAUUUUUCAAACAGUAUUUUCUAAUUUUUUAUCUCUGUCGUAAUCUUAGUCAAUUAGAUAAUUAGUCUUAGUUUAAAACAUCCCUUAAUUCUUAAGUUAGAUAAUAAAAAGAUAGUUGUACAGCCCAAAUUUUGCCCGGGCUAAAAAGCCCAACAUCUAAAAACCCAACAGCCCAAAACCCUUUAACACUAGCCCAUAGCAAUUAAAAAAAAAGAAAAAAGAAGAAGACUAAAAAAAAAAAAACCUAGCCAUCAUCCCUAUGCUUGACUCGGCCAACUUGCCCUGUCUCAUUGCCCAUACCUCCACUUACUCCAUCCCCAUAUGUCCCGCUCCAUGUUUUGGCCCAUGUUUCAUGCCCCUCGUUCUCCACAACUUCAACACCUGCAAUUGGAGCAAAGAGAUAGGUAGAAAAUGUAUGGUUUUUGGCUAUAAAACCUUCAAUUUUUCAUUGUAAAAGGGGGAGAAGAGAUUGUACUAAAGAGGUUUUUUUUUAGAAAAAGAACAAUGAUACUACAUGCAAUAGAGAGCUUUCUUUUUCGAAUAUAAUAGAGAAUAUACAAAGUCAAGAGUAAAUCGAGAAUUGGGACUGAGGUACUAAAGUUUAUAUACAAAUCUCAUGCAAGAAUCAGUAAAAAUACCCACCAAGGAAUAGUUUCAAAGGUGAUUUUAUUUUGUUUUUCUUCAAUUUUUUUUCAAAUCGGAUCCACAAUAUAAGUUAAAAAAUAGGAGACAAGAAGGGAGACUUACCGCGCCUCAUGUUUGCGCCGUCGAGAGGGCCUUGCUUCGCCAGUCGCCGGCGACCUUUGGGUGGUUGAAGGCCUGGGCAUAAGCCUUUCGGCGAAGAGCAGAGAGGGGGGGGGGAGUGUGAAGAUUUCAAACUUUUCCUUAGAAAAGUCAAAGCUUAAAUUUUUAAAGGAAAAAAUGAAUUGAAAUGGGU